rnacentral:rRNA from 1 species
AUUGAACGCUGGCGGCAUGCCUUACACAUGCAAGUCGAACGGUAACGCGGGGCAACCUGGCGACGAGUGGCGAACGGGUGAGUAAUGCAUCGGAACGUGCCCAGUAGUGGGGGAUAGCCCGGCGAAAGCCGGAUUAAUACCGCAUACGACCUACGGGUGAAAGCGGGGGACCGUAAGGCCUCGCGCUAUUGGAGCGGCCGAUGUCAGAUUAGGUUGUUGGUGGGGUAAAAGCCUACCAAGCCGACGAUCUGUAGCUGGUCUGAGAGGACGACCAGCCACACUGGGACUGAGACACGGCCCAGACUCCUACGGGAGGCAGCAGUGGGGAAUUUUGGACAAUGGGGGCAACCCUGAUCCAGCCAUGCCGCGUGCGGGAAGAAGGCCUUCGGGUUGUAAACCGCUUUUGUCAGGGAAGAAACGCUCUGGGCUAAUACCCCGGGGUAAUGACGGUACCUGAAGAAUAAGCACCGGCUAACUACGUGCCAGCAGCAGCCGCCGUAA